GAACUAAAAAAAUACGAAGCAGAAAGAUCGAAUAGGAAGAAAGGAAUUUGAUAUAUUCAAUAUAAACGAAACUAUAACCUUCGAUUUCGACUCGAGUAACGCGGCCCAAAUUUCCGCUUUGUUUAUAUUCCCGUGUAUAUUUCCACGAGGAACGUCUCCCCUCCUCUGUUUAACUUGGAAAUAAGCCACGGUAUCGAGGGGAGGGGAUGAAUCGUGGACGGCGUGUCUCCUUCUCGUGGCUUAUUGUUCACAACGUUCUCGCACGCGCGAGGAACAGGCUGGGCGCCGUUUACCGAGGAAUUCGCGUUUACAAGGAUGUGGACGAGGGAGCGGGGGAGAUUGGAGAUCCAGAGGGCGUACGAGGUCACGGAGGAGACGAGUUAAACAGCAUCCAACAUCCUCCUCCUUCGUAUAUGCGCACGGAGGCUAUUUUCCCUCGGAAUGCAUCGAGCGGCAAAUGUUCUCCUUUUCUUCCUCCAGUGUGGGGGACGAUUGUUCAGCACGGCGAAAAUUCGGCGAUUCCCCGAAGGUAGCGCGAGAAAUUCAAUUUGCUCGCGUAUCACGUCUCCCCGCCCGAUUUAUCGCCCGUUUCUGAAUGAAUUCUGAGUGGAACGAGCCGAGACCGAGUUGCGCGGCGCGUGCCGCCUAGAAUUAACGUCACGCGACAACAACGCGUUUUCUCGCCUCUCUACAGAGGAUCAUCAGAGGGGGUUUUCUAUAUCCAUAUUCAGUAAGUGGACUGUUCACUGAACACCGAAAGAAGUCUCGUGGAAGGAAACGCAUUCCAUUUUCAUUCUACCAUGGUGUGAUCUGAAGCUCAAUCUAGAAUCGUAACGUAUAUAUAAAAAUAUAAAUAUAAAAAUUGUUUUAGUUCUCAUUGUAGGCUAAUAUUCGAUAGUUUAAUUUAUAAACGUAAUUUUUUAUUCAGUUGAGAUAAUAAUUGUACAAUAGCUUCGAAAAUAUUUCAUCAUAUUAUCCUAAUUUCGUAAAUGAAAAUAAUUUUUACGAUUUUGAAUAUUCAAAUUACAGCUCCUAUAUUAUUGCGUGUAGAGGGAUUCUUGCCGUCAGAUUUCUUUCCAUCAGUGAACAACAAUGAUGGAUGGAAAUUUAAUAAAGUUGAGAUUACGAAUAAAAUUACUGUGUAAUAAUUUAUCGUUCAAACAUAAUAAUAAUAAUCGCGAAUAAUUAAUAGCAAAGGUAAAUAUCGAAAAUAAAUGUUACUCGAUAGAAUUUUAAUAAGCAAUCGCGUAAAAAUAACUUUAUUCCAGAUUUUCUUAACCCAGUCACUUGUUCGAUGAUUACUUCGCAGUGAGAAUCGUGAAUAAACGAUAUCCCAACGAUACUCUCGAGGUUAAAAUCGAAUCGAACAGAAUCUCUGGAACACAAGAGAGCAGGGAAGCCGUUUACUUUUUUUAAACACCCUGGCCCUUGGAAGGUUUUACGAAGCUGCGGUAUUCCGUAUUAAUACGAUCUCGCGUCCCACGCCAGCCUCUCGGCCCCUUUAAGCUUUACUACACUCCGUGAGCGCGAUUAAACGCUCUUUUCGAGGCGCAGCCUCGUCCCGCCCGUAAAUACUCCGGUUGUAAUUCAACAGGUACAACCGUCCCUCCGAUUAAUCUUUAAACCCGCGCACCUGGAGGAGGAGGCAUACCUCCUCGUAACCUCCAUUCCGUUUCCAUUCCAUAUCUCCCUUUCAUCUGCCUCCUCCAACAACCACCGCCAUAUUUCCAUUCAAAUAUCCCGCGCAAAUGUAUACCCAAGCAAGUAAAUUCGUUCCUGUGUUAUUAUCCGAUAGAUAAAGAUUUAAUUCUCGAUAAAUAUAAUCUCUCGAUUUAGCGGGAAUCUCUCUCUCUCUCUCACUUGCUAUGCUAAUAUCGAGAGGGCUCGACCGCUUUUCAUAAAGGCGUCGCUCGCGAAAUAAGAUGGUGAGUUUACGAAGAAAGCCGACGAGUGGCGGAGGUGGGGAGCGGGAGCCGUUAUGCUCGCGGCAUCUGCCACCAUCGUAUCCGAUAUACGGUACUUUGUUUGCCCAACCUGACAGCCUUGUAUAUAUUGUUGCACGCCUCGCCUCGAGAGCGUGGCUGGUAGGAAGGAGAAAUCGCGAAAUCCGGGCACCGAAUAAAUCAAAAUACAAACCGGCGUAUCGAGAUUCCGAUAUUUUCCGCGGCCGUGAAUCCAUUCGAGGCAAGUCUGCCGUGCUACGUAAUCCUCGGUCCGGAAUCGCCGUGGAAUCUCUUUGAAAUCGAGUUGGGAGAUCGUGUUGUGUAUAUCUGUAAGUGGAGACGCGACGUGAUGCUUUCGUUCGAUCUUUGAUUCGGGGAGAAUAUUCGGGGGACCGUACAUGGGGUAUAAUUAAUCAAUGGGAGGGAUUUGCUUUGAUACGGUACGUUCGGCUUUCGAAUUGGCGGUAUUUCAAAUUUUUGAUUCGAUAAUUUGGCUAUUGUCGUCGUUCGAACGAAUUCAUUUUCCUCUGUGCGUUUAUUAUUCUAGAACACGUUGGAUCCGACAUCCAACCCAUCGUUUCGCGAAAUCACGUAUUAAUAUCAAAUACGAUUUUAUUAAUCCAACGUUAAUAUUGUUGCUUCGGGGAAAGGAAAAUGGAUAAUGGAACGCGGAGAUAAAGAAGGUCGAGCUCGUUUCUGUUUGCAUCUGUUAUUUACAUCUCCUUUCGAAAACGUAAAUACAUCGUAGCUGCGCAGAUAGAACGUGCGUAUAUUUUGAUUUAACACACACUCUGGACGCGUGUGCUCGUCGGAGAUAUCGCCUAAUAGGGCCAUACCUUACACAGUCUGGUGUACACAGUCCGAGUAUUAAGAUAGGCGAUCUGUCGGAGCCGAUCGAUAAUCGGACUAUUAUAUCGCGGAGACAGAAAUUCCGGGACACGAGGCCGACAUAAGGAGACAUUAACAUCGGCCGAUUUCUCCCAAUAAUCCCUUCGAGGAACGAAAACGUGUCCAACCUUUCCUCGAACGACGCGAAAAUUGCUACGUCGAGCCGGAUACCUCUAACCAAUCGAGUUUACCCGCCUUUCUCCUCUCCUCUGGCCAAUAUUCUCGACGAGAAUCGAAGCAGGUGAAACGACAUAUUUCCCUCGCUUUAUCCUGCCUCUGCUUGAUAUAAAGAUCUUUUCUUCGAGCUAAUCCUCCGUUAAACGUCGUUUUUGAAACGUUUGGAAAGAGUUUAGUAGGUGGUGGAAUAAAAGAGGACAUGGAAUCGCGUUCUAAAGGCGAGGGAUUUUCUUCGUGUCGCGAACGAGAGAGGCAAUAUCAUUUGGACGAGAAUCGUGAGAUUUGGAUCGAAGAAUCGGGAUUAGGAGAUACUUCAAUUAUUAUGUCUCGAAUCAACGAGGAACAAUAACAAGUUUGAGGCCGAUGAGAUGGAAACGGGGAAAGAAGAGGGCCGAUUUCAUUGCGGAAACACCGAAAGGUGGGCCGUAAAAGUGGCAAUAAGACCGGGACAAACAAACGGGGCUGUGUGUUUCCCCCGGUAGGCGAAGAAGCUUUAGAAUUCGUAAUUAAACGGCUCGAGUCGCCGUGGCUGAAUGUACGAGAGACUUUUGAGCAUAAAGGUUUUAUGCACGACCCCUUCCCCUCCCCCUCUCUCGCCAUCCACGCUUUUUUCCUUCGUCUUUGAUACUUUCGAAACCUCGACACCCGUUCAGCAUACCAUUGGAUUGCAUAAUGCAUGGAUCACGAUGAGCUUCGAUGGAGCUUUGGAAAUUGGGAUAAUAAUUGAUAACGAUGAUAGGAGUCACUUGGAAUUUUUUUAAAAUUUGUCCAAAAAAAAAAAAAGUCAUUUGAUCGAUACCAUUGAGCUGUGUCAAGUAGGCGGACUCGUGCAAUAUAGACAAAAGCCGAGCGAAAUAAUCUAUCUAAAGAUAAAUAACAACUGGACAACAAGAACCAGUUUUGUGGAAAAACUGUGCGCUCUAUAUAUCGACGAUUCUCCUCGAAAAAACGAGGACCACUCAAGAGCGGUUAAGAGUCGAAUCCCGAUCGAGUUGGGUGGAAAAAAAAUUUGUACAUUCGGUUGUUGUGGAACAUGGAUUGCAGUGGACGGAUCGAAAUAAAUAAAGAAAUUUUUUUUCCACGAUACUUUUCCAAAACAUCGAGAUGUAAUAUUCUUGGAGAUUGAAGAAAAAGUCGCUUUUUAACUAUUACUCACCGCACAAGAAAUUGUACGUUCAGAACAUUUCGAAUAGGAAAAAAAAGAAAAAAAAGAAUGAAUGCAGAAAGAAAAAGAGGGCUAAUCGAAAUGCAUAUCGAUAUCUGUUCCAAUCUCUCUCUGGGAAUGUUUCACCACUCGUCUGAUCACAUGUUAGAAGGUCGUAUAAGGAAGCGGGCACGCGUUUCGAUAAUUCAAGCGGCGACAACGUGUCACGAGAGGUCGUGGCUCGACUUUAUUUCGACACCGGGUAGGCCGCGCGCUUCCUCGAAGGUCGACAUAAGAGAAAUACAUAAAUUAUGCGGGUGGCGGAGGGUCAGGCGGAGACGUGACUGCAACUUGCUUCGUAUUAAACUUAUGAAUAUAAAUCACAGGCCGGCUCGUUUCACGUCCCCCGACUCAACAUGCACUUCGUUCUCGUUUCAUACACUCGAUCGAAUCACGAUCCCUUCACCUUUCUCUCCCCUAUUUCCUUCCCAUCGUAUUCUCCCUUUUGUUUCUCACCGAGUCCUUUCCCGCUCGAAUUCGUAUUUCUCUCUCUCUUAUUAGUUCGACGGUGUCAAAGUCCCGGUUCUUUAUUCGAGCUCGAGGAGUUUAUGCUUCCCAGACACGCACCACGUUCGACGAAUAAUCACCACAGGCAUUUCUUCGUCGUUCCUCGAGCCGAUGGACUACUUUGAUCGUUGUUUGCCACCGAAUCGCCGACAAUUUAUCCCGUGGAAAUUGGAGUUAAUUCGUUAAUAUUUCCAAAAAUAUAUACAAUUAUUAUCUUAACUUGAAUGCAAAAUUGUACAUUUAUAAAUAUUAAACUACCGUUACGAGAGAUAAAAGAAAUUUUUUUAGAAUAUUCCGAAUUCUAACGCAUCGAGGUUUAGAAUCGUAAUUUAAUCAUUCGGAUUAAUAUAUACGGCGACAUAAUAUUAGAAACAAAAAUGUGAAAAGAAUAGAAGCGGUGAACAAUUUGCUUCAAUCUCCAGCAAUAACCAGCAACAAUUCCAAUUUCAGAAGCAGAAGCUGCGCCCAAUGUCUCCAUUCCGACUUUUUUCUCGAUGACGCAUCGCACCGUUUCCAUCGGCACUUCCGUUUCGCCGCAUCCGCGUUAUACACACACGCACACGCGAUGAAAAACCGCGAAUACUUCUUCCUCCGUAUAUCCCCCUCUCGAAACGAAGAUUAACGAUUCCUUCUCUCUCGGAUUCACCACCACCACCUUCUGUCCCAUGCCGGUGAGUUAUCUCGAAGAGGCGUUUUCAGAAACUUGGAUAUAUACGAAGGACGGCCGUAGUUUACGAGACGUCUUUUUAUCCCCGCGUCACAAAUCAUACGGGGGGAAAUUGUGCGUGCACGAAAUAAAAGUGAUGUAUAGGUCGGGACGAUUCGAAACAAACGUGAAUCGAGGAACAGGCGCUUGAACUUUCGUAUAUCGGCUCGUCGUGUAUCGCGUGUGAGGGGAACGUAAUUUCAAGAAGUCGAGUCGAGUGUAUAUACGCGUGAAUGCGGAGGGGGUUGGUGGAUUCGCGUGAGGAUAAGCCGGAAACUUAUCGAGAAUCGAGGAUCCUAUCGAGGAUCGGGUACACGCGCGGGGAAUGUUAACCGUGACGAAGAUUAAAGUCCGCUCGUGAUAAUUAUUAUUCGUUGUGACAGUUAGGAGGAGAGCUACAAGUAGCCGGCGUGUGUGAGACACUUGGACGGUUGUCGGUGUAAUUUUAAGCAAGAAUUGGUAAGUCAAUUCGUCCUUUAUAUUAGUGUGUCCUAGAUAUAACUAACGCUCUCAUUUUAGGUAAAUUACGUAUAUUGGUCACGUCUAUUUCAAAACUGUAUCGGAUAAAUGUAUAGCUCUUGCAGGCUAAUCUCACCUAUUUUACUUAUUUACAAAAGUAUCUCUUAUUAUUCGUUGUUAACAUCGUUUCUAUAAAUUAUGAUUUUAAAAUUUUAAUCGCUGGAGAGAAAAAAAGUUCUUUAUUUAACGAUCAAAGAAUUGGAAUCGUAGGGGAAAACUCUGAAAGAGUCUCAAUGGUUUAAAAAGCUGGAAACCGCGUUGGUUGGUAAUUCGGAUGCGCAUGCAUAUCGGGAGAGCCUUAGGGAAUCCUGUGAAUCACGCAUGGAUGCCCUAUCCGAUCCGAUACACCAACAAUCCGAACCCAAAGCGUGUCAGUGGCUCGACGUCAUACAUAUCUGAUAGCGGAGGAGGGGCAGGAGAUUCGUAUCCCUUCAGAUUUUUUCUUUCUCUCUUCCCUCGAAUCCCUCCGCUGUUUCCCCUCGACUCGAGACCUCCGUCACUCGAGUUUUCCCCGCGCUACGUGACGAAAAAAAAUCCCUAACCUAGAUCAAUUUCUUCCCUCUCGCCUCGAAAAUACGAACGAGGCGUAUUUCCAGAGGAGAAGCGGCGAGAGUUUACCUCGUUGCGACCAAUUUCUAUGCACUUUGACUCGAGUCUUUCGUCCGCAUUGAGCGGGCGAAAUAUCAGGGCGGAGGAAACGUAAAGGUAACGGAUCUGACGACGACACCGGUUUUCGAUCAUUGGCUACAACGAGUGGAAUACAACGGACAGCCGUCGAGAUCGGUAUGGCCGAUUUAAUAAACGGAUGGUAAAUAUUCUCGUGGCAAAUAUUUGACGACGUUUAAUAUCCAUAUCCUGGAUAUAUCUAUUCCAUAAGGAUAUUGAUCUAAACGCAAAACUAUAUAUAUAUAUGUUUAUAUAUAUAUAUAGAGAGAGAGAGAGAGAAGGGAAGGGUGAACCUUGACGCGGAGGAACUUGACGAGAGCCAAUUUUUCCCUUAAUUAACGGGAGGGGGAGCACAAUGGAUGAAUUUCCACGAUCGAUCCGAUUUCGAAUGGAGGGCGAAACGUUCACGGCUCCGUUUGCGAGUUUUCCUCCUCCUCCUCCUUUUCCUUCUCCUCCACCUCCUCCGUGUUCGGGGGAUGGUUAAGAGGAAAGCCAGAAGCGCGGGCAGAAGCGUUUCCCGAUUUUCCGCUCGACAGAGCGUAACCUUCCCGCGGAUUAAAUUCGAAUCGAUAUUUUUAUCGGUCAUUCUCGUUACGCCAGCUUACAAUAAUGUUGGCGGGAAACGUUCUCGCGGAUGGAGGAAGAUCGUUUCUCCCUUGGUAAUCCACUCUCUGUCGUUUCUCUUGCAACGAGUCUCUAUCUCCCUCCAUCCGCGCCAAGACCUGUCCGUUUCCUCGUUUACGAUUCGAGAUGAGGAGGGAAGGCAAGGGAAGUUAAGGGAAAAUGUCGCGGUGAUACCUGGUUUAUUAGGGGCCGCUCAUGCGCGCCAACCCUUCCACGCCGCGAGAGAGCCGUUCAUUUUUAAUGGCGCGUGCGAGAUGGCCGAGAUGCUCUCGAGAGAAGUGGACGGGAAAGAGAGAGAGAGAGGGAGUCGCUUUAAUAGAGGCUGGGGAGAAACAGGUGUACGAGAAUCGUAAAAGGUAACCGCGCGAGGAAAUUGCCUGAGAGAGAUGAAUCUUGCCGUUUCUCUCGCGUCUUUUCUCGACGGUAUCCUACGAAAUAUUGAAAACCGAUCUCCCCCCUCUCCAAAGAUGAAUAUUCGUAUUUCUUGGAAGGUAGAGACGUUUGUUGUUUCGGAUGUACGAAUCGGAUGUAUCGUUGGUGUGAAAAAUUCAGGGGGAAAUUGAACGGCGAGCAAAAAGGACGGAGAACAACCUUUAACCUUCUCCCUUAAAUUCUCGUUUGUAAUAAAAUAAAGUCUUGGAAACGGGGAAUGGAUUUUUCAUGAAUCGUUAAAUCAUACGAAUCCACGAGUGUUCGCGCAAAAAAGAAGAGAAGAAAAAAACGAACCAACAGAUCUCUUCUCUACCUCAUCCUCCCUUCCAAAUACACGCGCGAGGGGAAAACUUGGAAAAAAACCAUCGAUCCACCGAGUUUAUUGCCUCGCGUCUUCUCGCCUCGAAUUCCUUUUUUUCUCUUUUUUCCGCUCCGCGACAAUUUGCACGCUCCCCACGCUCGAUCGAGGCGAGUCGGGGAAUAAACGAAAGGCGGGACGUUGGCUGGCGUGAAAGCGGCGCGAUCCCGGAUGGCUAUUUAUUAAACAUACCUUCAUUACGCGGCGGCUACAUAUUUUAGAGGGUUUCACGCGUUCUCCCCGCCCCCUUCCUCUCCCUAUCUCUCUGUCUCUCGUCACGCGAGCCGGUUUAACGCGAUUGUAUCGUGAAUAAUUGAGAAAAAAAGGUUAAGUGGUUCAAUUAAUAACGGGCCCACAAGAUUAUCACGGCGCACGCUCGAUGAUGACGAUCCUCGAGGAUUGUCCGCUUGCCAGCUGCGAAGCCAAACAGAUUUGGUUGGAAACUCGUUAACGCACCGGUUCCUCAAAUAUUUGAAUGAUCACUUGCCAUGGGAUAAUACGUUUCUCCAGUAGCAAAUUCUAAUUCCAUUUUCCCUUCCUUUCUUUGUUUCUUUCGUCGAUUUUUGUUUCCCUCGUCAGGGCACUCUCUUUCCAUUGAAUUUCCUGCGAGAAUUUUUCCAUCGUUAAAUUAAUUCUUUCCCGCUAACGGAUAUUAUACAACGAUUCGAAAUAUUAGAUCUUCUGGAUAGAAAAAGAAGAGGGACAGAAAAAAGAACGUUAAAGCGAUACGAGAUUUCAAAAGCUAUAAAAAAUAAUAACCGUGACAUCAAACACUAGACUUUAUAUAUAUAUAUAAUUUCACGGUAGAAUAUUUCCUAUAUAAAAUUUUUAGCCAAACAUCAAACGCUAGAUUCUCUAUAAAAAGAUUAUGGACCGACCAAAAUUUCGAAAAAAAAAAAAAAAAUAUUCAAUUUUCUAUAAUCCCGUAAUCUCGCCACUCGCAAAUUCCCAUUUCUCCGUUAAUCGAUCCUUUAUCGGCCUUAUUUUCACCAUUUUUCACUCGCCGCGGUGCGAGGGCG